rnacentral:rRNA from 1 species
UACGGGGGGUGCGAGCGUUGUCCGGAAUCACUGGGCGUAAAGGGCGCGUAGGUGGUUUGAUAAGGGUGUGGUGAAAGCCCGGGGCUCAACCCCGGGUCUGCCGUGCCGACUGUCAAACUCGAGGGCUGUAGAGGCAGACGGAAUUCCGGGUGUAGCGGUGGAAUGCGUAGAGAUCCGGAGGAACACCAGAGGCGAAGGCGGCCUACUGGGUCAGUACUGACGCUGAGCCGCGAAAGCCAGGGGAGCGAACGGG